rnacentral:lncRNA from 1 species
AGGCCAACGAAGGAGAUUGAACUAUAGACAGCUGUUAGGAUUUGCAGUCGGAAAGAGGAUAAGAGAGAAAAGACAGAUAAGAUAGGAUUGGAGGAUUUCAGGGUGUUCGACCGACCUAACCCAAAAUAUCUGGGGUCCACGGGUGUGUGGGUCAUGGGUAAAAUCUAGAUCCGAACUCCAAAUCCAUUAAGAAGCAAGCAAGUACAGCCUAGAUCCAAGACGGUAGAAGCCCAUACAAGCCCGUUUACUAUAAUCUUAGCUUAACAGCUGAAGUAUAAAUAGCAUGUAAUAGAGAGCUAACAAUUUUUUGAAAGUAAGAAAGAAAUGAAUGAAAACUUUCCUCCUAAAUUUUCUCUUCAGAUUUAGCUCCCGAAACCCUCUUUCUCUCCUCUAAAUUCUUUCCUUCCUUCUCUAUUUGCCUCUCAGAUCUACUUGAAAUCCCUUUCUUUCUCUCACUGUACCUGGAUCUGCUCAAAUCUGAGAACAAUCAACUAGAAAAUCUUACCUCAGAGCUUGAGAUAUUAUAAAUUUGAUAUCAGAGAAGUGGAAUCUUUGGAUCUAAGGGUGUGGAUGCCACUCUCACAUAGAUCUAUCUAGUUCAGCCGAUCAGCAACAGGUAUUCAGUGGAUCUCUGAAUUUCACACACAAUAGACAGUAAUAGCAAUAAAUCUGAUCUGAAUCAAGAGUUUGAUCUCUGAAUUUUACACAAUAGACAACAAUAGCAUUAGAUCUGACCUGUAUCA